rnacentral:misc_RNA from 1 species
AAACUUUACUGUCACCGGGACCCACCAGACUUACCACAGCAUUCUUAGGAGGAUCAACCCAUUCCAAAGAAUGUGCCUCUGUAACCGGUGGACGCGGAGACUCCAAUUAGACCGAAUGAUUCUAGAAUUGUACCCUGGACUGUUCAAUACACAGAAGAGUCUCCGCUUUAUGCCCGUGGUCAAGCCCGUGGGUGAAGGGUCACAUGUACAUGGCACGGGUUCCUAUGUAGGAAAUACUGUCGGAAAUCUAAACGGGAAACCGGACACACAGUCCUGUUGUGGAACAAAUUAUGCAUAUGAGAUACUCAACAAAACCAAGGAGAGUGGACGAGAGCUUAGGGUGGUUCACUUUGAUCAUCAAUACCAGUUUGUGCCCGUCGGCCGCUGCGAAUCUACCACGCCCGGGCAGUGCGGUCGAGGAUCGUGUUUACAAAUGUACAGACAUAUUGGAUGCUAGUGUGGGAUGACGACUUGUCUCAUUUCCCGCCAGUCAAAUUCAUCCCCGUGGAAAUUCCAUCCCACUGCGAGUGUGUAAAUGUAGGAAAAGGACAGAAAACAUAGAGCCGCAAAUAAAUGACACAUUGCUAACAACCCAGCUUUCAACAUGACCAAUGGUCAUGUGUUCGAAGCCAACAGACUGUCCAAUAGUGUGACUAUGUUAGCAAAAUUCUGACCAAUAGUGUGCUAGUAUUUGUCAGCAUUGACGACGUACUAGAAGACAGCGGGACAGGCUUCACUGCAAUAAACCCACGAAAUGUGAUUACUCUGCACUUUAACUCUUCCGAGAUAACAAGAGUCUACCGUUCAUAUUUUGACCUUUACUUUUUUGUUGUGGUGAACUUCCUGGCGCAUGUCAAUUCACUUGAACAUUUCCGUCGGCUGCUAACCAUGAAUGGUAGUUUUUUUUUAAUGAUUUUGUAAGGAGAGUUGCGUUCUUAGGCUGUAUUUGUGAUCAGAAAUUACGACAUGACGUUUUCUCUACACAAGUCCGUGCCUGAAAAAUGAAUCUGAAUAAUUUAGUAUUUUUCCCCCAGUGACAAUAAUUUAUUUUGUUGGGCGUUUAUCAUCAAUGUCUUUAUCUACGAAGUUUUGUCGAUUCAUUCCUUGUCGAUAAAUCUGGCCUUGUUGUCAUUUAACAGGAGUUUGGCGUGUCGACAAAAUAAUUACACAUUCAAAUCACUCUGCCAUCAACAUUUUCGUUUGAUGAAUAGCAAAUGUAAGAUAAGUUUCAUUGCAUCAAUGUGCGUAUUUCUUUCUUUCUUCUUAUUUUUUUUUGAGUUUAAUGUUAAUAUAUAUACAUGUACUAAUUCUACACCUGAUGUAUGUAAUGAAAUGUUUCUUUUUUGCGCUGGGUGCUUCAGCACCAUUUUUUAUGCUUAUAAUGCUAUUUACUUAGUUUAUUAUAUAUGAUAAACUUGUGAUGUUCAAAUUUAUAUGAAAAACAUGUUACUCUACGAUGAAAAAACACAAUAAAAUGCUAAAUAAAUGGUUGAACAU